rnacentral:lncRNA from 1 species
GAGCUACAGCCGAGGCGAGGCAUAGGGAGAAGACAGACGGACACAUUUAUGAGCGUGUGUGACCUACUAUAUCUAUGGACUAGUUGGCCCACAGUGCAGCUGGAGCCUUCAAACUGUUAACUGACACACCACCACUCCUUGGGACGUCUAUGGAUGGACUGAAUCCACGUUUACAAGGACGGAUCUUCUCUAGCUCCUCCCCUGACCUCUAACCUCUGACACUCUGCAUGCACAGAGGUCCCCUCCCCCUCUGCCUGACGGACAGCUACCCUACCGAUUCCGUUGCUACGACGACACUGAGCUUUAUCAAGAGCCCGUCACAGCCUUUACAGGAAGUGGACAGACGAGAGUUGAGGUCAGGUGACCAUGCCUCAUUUCCUCUUUCUGUUGUUGACUUCCUGUUGGAAUUGGAAGAUAAAAAGGAAAGGACUACAGACAAACAUCACUGUGUGUUUUAUCUAAUAGUCCCAACAAUAUUCUGACAAAGCCAUACUAUAUUUGUUAUGGAAAAUAAUAUACAAUCAAACAAAAUGGAAGUAGAGUGUGGGGGGGGGCUCUCUUUUUAACAUCCAGUAAUAAGUUGAUAUAUCUGCAUCUCUUUAUUAAAUAUCUCCGACAUACAGGACCCUCAUAUCAAUAGAAUUACCCUCUCUCUCUCUCGCUCUCUCGCUCUCUCGCUCUCUCUGUCUCUCUCUCUCUCUCUCUCUCUCUCUCUCUCUCUCUCUCUCUCUCUCUCUCUCUCUCUCUCUCUCUCUCUCUCUCUCUCUCUCUCUCUCUCUCUGUGUCUCUCUCUCUCUCUCUCUCUCUCUGU